AGGCGCGUAGCUCAGGGGGAGAGCGCUACCUUGACACGGUAGAGGUCCGCAGUUCAAAUCUGCGCGCGCCUA
rnacentral:tRNA from 1 species